AACGAACGCUGGCGGCAUGCCUAACACAUGCAAGUCGAACGAGACCUUCGGGUCUAGUGGCGCACGGGUGCGUAACGCGUGGGAACCUGCCCUUAGGUUCGGAAUAACUCCCCGAAAGGGGUGCUAAUACCGGAUAAUGUCUUCGGACCAAAGAUUUAUCGCCUUUGGAUGGGCCCGCGUUGGAUUAGCUAGUUGGUAGGGUAAAAGCCUACCAAGGCGACGAUCCAUAGCUGGUCUGAGAGGAUGAUCAGCCACACUGGGACUGGGACACGGCCCAGAAUCCUACGGGAGGCAGCAGUGGGGAAUAUUGGACAAUGGGCGAAAGGCUGAUCCAGCAAUGGCGCGUGAGUGAUGAAGGCCUUAGGGUUGUAAAGCUCUUUUACCCGGGAUGAUAAUGACAGUACCGGGAGAAUAAGCUCCGGCUAACUCCGUG
rnacentral:rRNA from 1 species